UUAAAUGUUCAAUUGUAUAUGUUUUAGCUUAUGCUUAUAUUAAAAACUGUUAAAAAUUGAUCAUAGUCAUAUUAAUUACCAAAUUGAAUUAAAUAUGUAAAUUAUUGUUUUACAGGUUGUCAUACCCGUUCCCAUUAGCAACGAGGAGAGACAAACUUCUUUGAAAAAACAUUAUGCAAUUACCAAAAAGCUUCAGUGGCUGUCAUUAAAAUUCUUCAACUGUCGACAAUGCACAUAAUUGAUGAAGACUUUUAAACUAGGUAUAUUCUGAUAGACAUUUUUGAAUGGAUAAGUGUAUUCUUUUCAGUAAAACAUCCAAAGUGUCGCCUCGCCAAAUUACGUACAUUUUCAUUUAUUUCCAAAAAAUCAAUGAAAUAGAAGGAAAUAAUGGCUAAGAAUGUUCGAAUUAAAUGAUUGCCCCAAUAAUUUCUACCUGACGUGGAAUCUGCGGUAGGUAAUCAUUUCACAAUUAUUAGUGGUAAACAAAGUUCAGUAAAUUAGUAAACACGGUCAGAGGCUGUCUCAAAACAUAAUCCAAACCACUUGUCUGGGAUAGAGAAGUAAAACAAAUGUUGGUGAUUCACAGGAAUAUUGGUACUACCUACUCUGCGCACGACUAGUAAAUCGCAACUAAGAGAAAAUGUUGUUUCUCCAACGAUGAGUUAGAAGCAAAUGAACAGACGAAUAAACGAUUUGGAGGCCAUGAUUUUAAUUCACCCAGAAAAGCCUUAGAUACCCGAAAAUGUCUAAUUCACACACACUCAUGUAAGUAUAUCACUCAAGUAUCCGAUUUCAAACGUUUGCCAAGACCAAAAG